GCCGAAGUGGCGGAAUUGGUAGACGCGCAUGAUUCAGGGUCAUGUGGGCUUCGGCCCGUCGGGGUUCGACUCCCCGCUUCGGCACCA
rnacentral:tRNA from 1 species